GUGAAGCAAAGACACAAAAAGUGCUAACACUGGAUGUAAAAAUCGACUCUAACAUAAUGGAGGUACUGAAGUAGCUGACUGGGAACGAGGACACCACUACCAGCGGGGACUCUCAGCUCAGUGCUCAGGUAGGGGGAAGGGCGACUUAAGAGCCCGAACGAGGACAGCGGGUGCGUGGAAAGGACAAGCAUCCCCCAGAUGCAGCGAGAAACUUCACAUUAAAAGAACUCUUAGAGACAACUUAUACCAAGCGAGUGUGCGAGUAGGGGAAGAGGGAGAGGAAGAGAGAAUCUCAAGCAGACUCCCUGCAGGAGCACAGAGCUGACAAGGGGCUUGAUCUCAUGCCCCUGAGAUCAUGACCUGAGCCGAAACCAUGCAUCAGACGCUCAACUGACUGAGCCAUCCAGGUGUCCCGCCUUUGCUUUAAAUUACAGUGUACUAAAUAAAAAUUGUUUUACUAUU